CUUCGGUCAACGCUUUUACACCCCAAUGAAUUUACAAAAAGAAGCAUUCAAUUCUUAAGUAAAACUUAUUUAGUUUUCAUUAUUUUUAUUUGUAUAUAUCACAUGACUUUUUAUUGUAUCAUUUUAGAGUCACGAUGAUAUUGAUCAGUUUUGAUACCUGCGUAUGUGUCAAAGCUUCAUUAAAAAGUCUGCUAUUGUCAAAAAAUAUUAUUCUGCUUUCCCCAUUACAGUCCGAAACAAAAGUCUUAAAUUUGUCUGGCAAACUUUCAAGGUACGUAAAGCGCGACAACCCUUUAGGCUGUAGAAAGUCAAACCCUGUAAAGACUAUAACUAUUUUAUCUAUUAAUUUUCGCAAUCUUCUGUAUAUGAGGUCAAUCACUUUCGUAUCUUGAUCUAAAUUGGUUCUUGAUGAAAAGAUAUACAGAUAUGCGUGGGGUUCCUCUCCGAGUUGUUGGGUUGCUGUGUUGAUAAUUUCACAACGUUUACUUUGACGUCUUCCCUCGCCAAUUCACUAAUCCUAAAUUCAAGAGUUUCUACGAUUCUGAUUGUUUUCCCACAUCUAAUUGUUCUAUGAAGAAUAUUUGUUGAUGUGUUACUUUUUGUUAAACAUUGCGAUGGAAAUUUAGCUUCUCCUAAUAUCAUGUCUCCUGUCGAACUUUUACCACUUUGUUUAGUUCCAAACAGGACCAGGCGGAGCUCGUCGUUAUCUACAAGUGAAAUCUAUCAUAGUAUUCUCAUUUACUGAAAUAUUUUUAAAGAAAAUCAGAAAAAUUGAUACAGUCAUCUGUGUAUAAUAUGUCCACCUUAUGUUUUUGUACGGUACGUUGUCACUUUACUAAAUAAGGCUUC
rnacentral:lncRNA from 1 species